ACGAGACAACCACUUUCUCUCAGUCUCUCUCCCCUCUCGCCUCCGCUUCCUUCUCCCCCAGGUCCUCCGACCCCGCUCCCCGGCCUCCGCCACCUCCUGCCGCAGGCUCGCGGAUUCGCAGCGAUGGCGCCGUCCAGGCACGCGGACGAGGGCGGGCAGCUCCAGCUCAUGGAGCCCGACAGGGUCGACGAGGAGGAGGAGUGCUUCGAGUCCAUCGACAAGCACGGCGGCGAGAGAUCCGGCACGCAGCCGGUGACACACGAGGCCGGCGGCUAGCUACGGCGCAUGAGGCCGGCGAGAGCUCCGGCAUGCCGGCGGCGUUGCAGGCCGGAAGAGAAGUAGUACUGGAUCAGAAGACCCGGUCUUCUAAUCAACCGUGAUCUCCGGUCAAAGGAUACUGUUAUAGAUGGAAAUAAAUAUUGUAUGGCUAUAUAGCCGGAGCUCUAAAGACCAUAUGUGACACCUGCGUGGAGAAAUAUAUCUAAAUAAAUUAAUCGUAUACCAUGGCUGAUGUGAGCAAGA